UACAGAGGGGGCAAGCGUUAUUCGGAAUUAUUGGGCGUAAAGGGCGCGUAGGCGGCAUCGCAAGUGGAAGGUGAAAUCCCUCGGCUUAACCGAGGAACUGCCGUCCAAACUGCUUCGCUUGAGACCGGGAGAGGUGAGUGGAAUUCCCAGUGUAGCGGUGAAAUGCGUAGAUAUUGGGAGGAACACCAGUGGCGAAGGCGGCUCACUGGACCGGUACUGACGCUGAUGCGCGAAAGCGUGGGGGAGCAAACGGGG
rnacentral:rRNA from 1 species